UGGGGAAUAUUGCGCAAUGGGGGAAACCCUGACGCAGCAACGCCGCGUGAAGGAUGAAGGUUUUCGGAUUGUAAACUUCUUUGAUCGGGGACGAAGAUGACGGUACCCGAGGAACAAGCCACGGCUAACUACGUGCCAGCAGCCGCGGUAAUACGUAGGUGGCGAGCGUUGUCCGGAAUUACUGGGUGUAAAGGGCGUGUAGGCGGGGGAGCAAGUCGGAUGUGAAAUUCCUAGGCUUAACCUGGGCGCUGCAUCUGAAACUGUUUCUCUUGAGUACUGGAGAGGAAAGUGGAAUUCCCAGUGUAGCGGUGAAAUGCGUAGAGAUUGGGAGGAACACCAGUGGCGAAGGCGGCUUUCUGGACAGUAACUGACGCUGAGGCGCGAAAGCGUGGGGAGCAAACAGG
rnacentral:rRNA from 2 species